UACGAAGGGGGCUAGCGUUGCUCGGAAUCACUGGGCGUAAAGGGUGCGUAGGCGGGUCUUUAAGUCAGAGGGGAAAUCCUGGAGCUCAACUCCAGAACUGCCUUUGAUACUGAAGAUCUUGAGUUCGGGAGAGGUGAGUGGAACUGCGAGUGUAGAGGUGAAAUUCGUAGAUAUUCGCAAGAACACCAGUGGCGAAGGCGGCUCACUGGCCCGAUACUGACGCUGAGGCGCGAAAGCGUGGGGAGCAAACAGG
rnacentral:rRNA from 1 species